UGCCCCAUGGCUGAGUUGGUUACAGCGUCCGACUGUUAGCGACUUUGGUUGCAGACUAUCGGAAGGUCGUGAGUUCGAGCCUCACUGGGGCAG
rnacentral:tRNA from 1 species